GACGAACGCUGGCGGCGUGCCUAAUACAUGCAAGUCGAACGCUGAAGGAGGAGCUUGCUUCUCUGGAUGAGUUGCGAACGGGUGAGUAACGCGUAGGUAACCUGCCUGGUAGCGGGGGAUAACUAUUGGAAACGAUAGCUAAUACCGCAUAAGAGUAGAUGUUGCAUGACAUUUGCUUAAAAGGUGCAAUUGCAUCACUACCAGAUGGACCUGCGUUGUAUUAGCUAGUUGGUGGGGUAACGGCCCAACAAGGCGACGAGACAUAGCCGACCGGAAAGGGAGGACGCGCCACAUGGGAACAGAACCACGGCCAGGAUCCCUAGGGGAGCAGGAGGAGGGGAAUUUCGGACAUGGAGGGAAGUCCUGACGCAGAACGCCGGGGGGGUGAAGAAAGUUUUCGGAUCGUUAAGGCUUGUUGUAAGGGAAGGAAGAGGGUGAGGCUGGAAAGUUCACACGGUGACGGUACCUUAACAAAAAGCACCGGCUAACUACGUG
rnacentral:rRNA from 1 species